rnacentral:rRNA from 1 species
CCCUUAGAUGCUCUGGGCCGCACGCGCGCUACACUGGUCGAUGCAACGAGUUUCUUUCCUUGGCCGACAGGCCUGGGCAAUCUUUGAACAUCGAUCGUGAUCGGGAUAGAUUCUUGUAAUUUUUGAUCUUAAACGAGGAAUUCCUAGUAAACGCAAGUCAUCAGCUUGCAUUGAUUACGUCCCUGCCCUUUGUACACACCGCCCGUCGCACCUACCGAUUGAAUGGUCCGGUGAAAUCUCCGGACUGGCGUGAGUCGGAGCAAUCUGACAAACACCGGAAAGUUGAUUAAACCUUACCAUUUAGAGGAAGGAGAAGUCGUAACA